rnacentral:misc_RNA from 1 species
GCUUUAUGUUUCAUGCCGUUGUGGUCACUCUUUGUGUAGUUAAAUUUUCUAAUAGAAAAGAACAAACUUAUUAAGAACCAAUUAAAUCAUAUGCAAAUAUGGUUUGUCUAAAAUCUUUUGUAACAGACAAAAGGUAGUGAUAAAGCCAUACAAUUCACACGCUAAUUUUGGACUGUUCUCUAUUGUACAUAGUAAUGAGUCUCACAUGCACAUAAUUAAAAAAAA